GACAGAGGGUGCAAACGUUGUUCGGAAUUACUGGGCGUAAAGCGCAUGUAGGCGGUUCGUAAAGUCAGAUGUGAAAGCCCUGGGCUUAACCCAGGAAGUGCAUUUGAAACUCACGAACUUGAGUCCCGGAGAGGAAGGCGGAAUUCUCGGUGUAGAGGUGGAAUUCGUAGAUAUCGAGAGGAACAUCUGUGGCGAAGGCGGCCUUCUGGACGGUGACUGACGCUGAGACGCGAAAGCGUGGGGAGCAAACAGG
rnacentral:rRNA from 1 species